rnacentral:rRNA from 1 species
UCGAGAAUCUUCGGCAAUGGACGCAAGUCUGACCGAGCGACGCCGCGUGCGGGAUGAAGGUCUUCGGAUUGUAAACCGCUGUCAGUUGUUAGGAAAUCUCUAGGGGUUCUCCCUUAGAGUUGACCGAUCAUCAGAGGAAGGACGGGCUAAGUUCGUGCCAGCAGCCGCGGUAAGACGAACCGUCCGAACGUUAUUCGGUAUCACUGGGCUUAAAGCGUGCGUAGGCGGCCUAGCAGGUGAGAUGUGAAAGCCCACGGCUCAACCGUGGAACUGCGUUUCAAACCGCUAGGCUUGAGGAAGGCAGGGGUGAUGGGAACUGUUGGUGGAGCGGUGAAAUGCGUUGAUAUCAACAGGAACACCGGUGGCGAAAGCGCAUCACUGGGCCUUUUCUGACGCUGAGGCACGAAAGCUAGGGGAGCGAACGGGAUUAGAUACCCCCGUAGUCC